AUCUUUUUAUGCCCCAUCUACGAUAGUAGAGGGGAAUUAUGUUUUCUGGUCUGUGCGUCCGUUCGUCCGUCUGUCCCGCUUCAGGUUAACGUUUUUGGUCAAGGUAGUUUUUGAUGAAGUUGAAGUCCAAUCAACUUGAAACUUAGUACACAUGUUCCUUAUGAUAUGAUCUUUCUAAUUUUAAAGCCAAAUUAAACUUUUGACCCCAAUUUCAUGGUCCACUGAACAUAGAAAAUGAAAGUGCAUGUUUCAGGUUAAAGUUUUUCGUCAAGGUAGUUUUUGAUGAAGUUGAAGUCCAAUCAUUUUGAAACUUAGUACACAUGUUCCCUAUGAUAUUAUCUUUCUAAUUUUAAUGCCUAAGUAUAUUUUUUUUAUCCAAUUUCACGGUCCAUUGAACAUGGAAAAUGAUAGUGGGAGUGGGGCA
rnacentral:lncRNA from 1 species